rnacentral:rRNA from 1 species
UACAGAGGGGGCAAGCGUUGUUCGGAAUUACUGGGCGUAAAGGGCGCGUAGGCGGCCUGCUAAGUCGAACGUGAAAUCCCCGGGCUCAACCCGGGAACUGCGUCCGAUACUGGUAGGCUUGAAUUCGGGAGAGGGAUGCGGAAUUCCAGGUGUAGCGGUGAAAUGCGUAGAUAUCAGGAGGAACACCGGUGGCGAAGGCGGAUCUCUGGGCCUUGCCUGACGCUGAGGCGCGAAAGCUAGGGGAGCGAACAGG